AGAAUGCACAGGAAGGGAGGGGAGAACACAAGCCAGGCCUUCAUUCAGCACCGGGCCUGCCUGGAGAAGAAUCUGGGCUCUGUGCACAAAUUGGGCUUCACGCAGCAGCACAAAGGCGGCGCUGUGGCGGGGCCCGCCGUGAAAGGAGGCUCUCUGCACAAGCGUACGACGGCCGGGCGCACCCACGCCGACACGCCUCGGACCGGCGCCGGGGCUCAAGUUUGGAGGCAUCUCACAUGAAGAUGCUGGAGAUUUAUGAGGGCGGCAGUCAGAUGACUUACCAGCGGCUCCGCCAUGAUGACGCGGAUCUUGCGCUCCGACACGGUGGCGAAGGCGGAGAAGAGGCUCUUCAGCACGUACUCUCCCGGUUUGCUCUCCGGGUCCACGCUGAUGGGCACGGAGAUGGUCGGGCCCUUCUCCCCUUGAGGACUGCAGACCGGCGGGAGGGGCGGCUUGUUGUAGCCAUUGCCCACGGGCGAGGCUGAAGAAGAAGGGCAAUGAUGAUCACUUUGUGCGAGGUUUGAACAUUUCAUUCAGUGAUUCUUUCGCCUACCACUAGACGGAGCCUGCAUGCCACAAGCGCACGCCGAUUAUAGGAAAUUCAGUGCUCGUCUGUCAAAGUGUUUCAUAAACUUCAAUGAACCAAGGGCACGUGUUUUCCGUUUGAAAGAUCUCAUGGCACGUCACCAAACAAAAAUGUCACAAAAAGCAAAAUAAUAAUGAUGAUCUCACAAAGACAAACACCAUGAUGAUGAGCCACAGGAAGUCGUGACUUCUUCUGUUGUCUUCUAGCGGAAGAUCAUUUGGCAAUAAAUGAUUCCGCUUUGGGAGACUCCGAAGACACAAACACUCUCUCUUACCAAAAGUUUUAAGGCUCUCUAAAAGACGACUAUUUGGUGAAUAAAUUCAUGACAAGAAACAGUGCUAAGUAGCGGGCUAGUAGCUAAUGAGAGUUGAGAGGUUGACCCCAAAAAUGGACAUGAAAAUUCCCAGCGUGGGGAACAUUCCUGACGCACGCUGACCAAAGGGCAGCGACUUUUGCUUUCCUACGGCGACGCCGUGCAAGGAAAUGAACGCCUCAUGGGCACCAGCUGCUGUUUUCAUUUCCUACCAAAGUGACGUGAGAGGGCAGCCAAAGAUCUCACGCAUGUGACCGACCGUAUCGUGUUACGAUGGCGACCGACGCCUUUGAUUACGUAAAAAA